rnacentral:tRNA from 1 species
GCCCUCGUAGUUUAAUGGAUAGAACGCUGGCCUCCGAAGCUGGUAAUGCCGGUUCGACUCCGGCCGAGAGCA